UGUCAAGAAGCUUUUGAUCCAUUUGCUGGUCAUCCCCAUCUCUGUCAAUUGUUACUCUCUCUCUCUCUCUCUCUCUCUCUCUCUCUCUCUCUCUAAGCAUAGACCAAGAGAAGCAAGAUCUGAUAAAUAUAGAUCUCUAUUGGGUUUUCCUUGUCUUGCACUCUUGCUGCAUGUGUUAAGGCUUGCUGAAGAGAAGAAAUGGGGAGGAAAUUUUAGUGGCAAAAAGAUUGUAUAUUAUUCUAAAUAUGGAUUAGCAAGAGAGGUGGAGGGCUUUUCUGUAAAUCUGCUGUGUCGGUUAGUGGGGUUGGUCCGUUGGUGGGGGUUCAGAUCUCAGAGUGACCAUGUGAAAAAGGACCGUCGUUAACAUAAGAUUCCGUCGUGGACUUAGGUGGUCAUCCCCACAUGCCUAGUAGGAGAAAUGGGUGAAAAUGGGCCUAUUACAAUGAAAGGAUGAAAUCUAUAUCUUGGAUUUGUUCUGCAUC